UACGUAGGGUGCAAGCGUUAAUCGGAAUUACUGGGCGUAAAGGGUGCGUAGGCGGUUCGGUAAGUCUCAUGUGAAAUCUACAGGCUCAACUUGUAGUCUGCAUGAGAAACUGCCGGGCUUGAGUAUGGGAGAGGUGAGUGGAAUUCCUGGUGUAGCGGUGAAAUGCGUAGAUAUCAGGAGGAACACCUGUGGCGAAAGCGGCUCACUGGACCAUAACUGACGCUGAUGCACGAAAGCUAGGGGAGCAAACAGG
rnacentral:rRNA from 1 species